UACGAAGGGGGCUAGCGUUGUUCGGAAUCAUUGGGCGUAAAGGGCGCGUAGGCGGACUCUUAAGUCGGGGGUGAAAUCCUGUGGCUCAACCACAGAACGGCCUUCGAUACUGGGAGCCUGGAGUUCGAGAGAGGUUGGUGGAACUGCGAGUGUAGAGGUGAAAUUCGUAGAUAUUCGCAAGAACACCAGUGGCGAAGGCGGCCAACUGGCUCGAUACUGACGCUGAGGCGCGAAAGCAUGGGGAGCAAAC
rnacentral:rRNA from 1 species